rnacentral:lncRNA from 1 species
UUUUAUCUUAUUUUCCCUCUUCACUAGGUUAUAGGGCACGAUCCCUUAACUAUUGGAUGUGGGAACCUUAUACAAAAAUGCUUUCUAUGCAAUGCUUCCUUCAAUACUGGAACUGGACCUUUACGGUCUUAGGCUGACCAGCAUUGUAUUGAUCUAGUUCCAGGUGUUGUCCUUUCUUUCCUCAUUGCCACCUUGCCUGCCUCCGCUCAACCUUUCUGCCCCACCUAUACUAAUAUUGGAAACUGGACCUUUACGGUCUUAGGCUGACCAGCAAAUCUAUCCAGAAGCAAGUGUAGUUCACCGGUUCCAGCGAAUGCUCCUAUCUCUCGGCAAAGAUCGUGUGA